UUGGGGGGUCACGUGACCCCUCAGAAAAAUUUUUCCGCUAGAUUUAGCGGGGAAAAUUUUCCGCUAGAUUUAGCGGGGAAAAUUUUCCGCUAGAUUUAGCGGGGAAAUUUUUCCGCUAGAGGAAUUUUUUCCGCUAGAUUUAGCGUGGAAUUUUUUCAGCUAAAUCUAGCGGGGAAAAUUUUCCGCUAGAUUUAGCGGGGAAAUUUUUCCGCUAGAUUUAGCGGGGAAAUUUUUCCGCUAAAUUUAGCGGGGAAUUUUUU
rnacentral:SRP_RNA from 1 species